CAGCCGCCACGGGAAUACGUAGGGUGCAAGCGUUAAUCGGAAUUACUGGGCGUAAAGUGUGCGCAGGCGGUUUGUUAAGACAGAUGUGAAAUCCCCGGGCUUAACCUGGGAACUGCAUUUGUGACUGGCAAGCUAGAGUAUGGCAGAGGGGGGUGGAAUUCCGCGCGUAGCAGUGAAAUGCGUAGAUAUGCGGAGGAACACCGAUGGCGAAUGCAGCCCCCUGGGCCAAUACUGACGCUCAUGCACGAAAGCGUGGGGAGCAAACAGGAUUAGAGACCCCUGUAGUCCCUGUCUCUUAUAC
rnacentral:rRNA from 1 species